rnacentral:rRNA from 1 species
UGGGGAAUAUUGCACAAUGGGCGCAAGCCUGAUGCAGCCAUGCUCGCGUGUGCUGAAGAAGGCCUUAGGGUUGUAAAGCACUUUCAGUAAGGAGGAAAGGUUAGUAGUUAAUACCUGCUAGCUGUGACGUUACUUACAAAAAAAGCACCGGCUAACUCCGUGC